ACAGCAGUGAAACUUGACUAAGUUAAGUAGCUCACAGAGAGCCUAAACCACUCCUACGAGGAUUCUGUGUUGCUGCAUUUGUCAGGAGACCUGUAAAUCAAUAAGAACAAAUGAACUGCAAUGGCCCACAGCUACAAGCAACAGCAUAAAGUGCUGAUGGACUGUGUGUUCAGUGUUUCAUAGUGUGCUUCUCUACCAUACUGGUCCCAGGAUGAAGAGAGAAUUCAGUGCUUCAGAGAGCAGGCUCUGUUUCUUUUGGAAGGAGCCAGAUUUUCGGGCUGUAAGUGUGAGCUUCUUCAACUUUGAGAUACUGAGUGGGCAUCUAGUACCAAAGAUUAAAAUACUACUGUUUGUUAUCUGACUGUUUACAUGAUGGAAGCCCAGUCUCCUGUGUGUUUCACAGAAAUCUGCUCAAGAGGAAAACAAUUUUUCCUGCUAAAAAUCCAAAGCAUAAGAAACAAGACAGUUCACAUGAUCAUAUUUAUCCUAGUAUUGCUCUUGGAUGGCUUGAAUAUGUCUUGGGAGUGUUUGGCUUAUUAGAGCAAAUAUAACACAGUGCACUUAAUUUGUCUUACUCUGGAGAGAGUAGAAUAAGGGUCAGUCUAUCUCCAGCUUUGCCCUAAUGGACAUAAAAUAGUUAAUUGGUUCAUUCUUAUGGUCAAAGACAAAGGAGAGGAAAGUUAUGUUAGUCACCUUGAGAAGAUAAGAAUAUACGAUGCUUUGCUGACUUAUACAGGCUUUCCACCAAAAGAAACCCACAUAUAAACUUCUGUCUUUCUUUCAGUGUAGUAUCUAGGAUUGAAUUUAAUGACAAAAUGUUUGAAUUUCUCAUCACAAACCAGAAAAUUGAGCCAGGCUGCAGGUGGCAAAUAUUUUCAGAUUUAGGAUUGAGUUUCAAGUAUGUCUGGCCUGACCUUUCACUUUAAAUGGAAUCCAUAUAAAUACCAACAAUUCCAUGUCAAGUCUGAUAAGGCUUUAGCAGUUUCAUCUGGUUUUCACUCUGUGUUUUCAGAAUAAAAAUGAAAGUCAGAGUGCACCAAAGUUGCUAUUUUUGCUACAGUAACCAAGUGCACUUACAUGACUACCUGUUGCAGUCAGAUUGGUGCUCUGUAAUGACAACUCUGGACUAUCCAGUGCUGAUUUCUGGGAAUUUUCUGGAUACUUACAAAGUAUUUGAUCAUCAUAAAGAUGUUUCAGUGUUGCCUAACAGCUGAACUACUUGUCCAAACUGUGUAUUUUACACUUUCAACUACAGUCUUUAAAAUGCUUCUGUGAGUCUUAGGAUUCUGUAUUGCAUCCAUCAGUGCAAAUGGCUUUUCUUUUGGCUUGAGUUCUUUUUGCACAAAGAUAAUUCACAGAGAUGGAUGCAGGUUGGACCAGUCUCUGUCUCACACAUCCACUCAUAAUGGAAACAAUUCUAAACCUUUUACCAACUGACCACAAGUCA